rnacentral:rRNA from 1 species
UCCAGACUCCUACGGGAGGCAGCAGUCGGGAAUAUUGCGCAAUGGAGGAAACUCUGACGCAGUGACGCCGCGUAUAGGAAGAAGGUUUUCGGAUUGUAAACUAUUGUCAUUAGGGAAGAUAAAAGACUGUACCUAAGGAGGAAGCCCCGGCUAACUAUGUGCCAGCAGCCGCGGUAAUACAUAGGGGGCAAGCGUUAUCCGGAAUUAUUGGGUGUAAAGGGUGCGUAGACGGAAGAACAAGUUGGUUGUGAAAUCCCUCGGCUCAACUGAGGAACUGCAACCAAAACUAUUCUCCUUGAGUGUCGGAGAGGAAAGUGGAAUUCCUAGUGUAGCGGUGAAAUGCGUAGAUAUUAGGAGGAACACCAGUGGCGAAGGCGGAUUGCUGGACAGUAACUGACGCUGAGGCGCGAAAGCGUGGGGAGCAAACAGGAUUAGAUACCCGAGUAA